rnacentral:rRNA from 1 species
GACGAACGCUGGCGGCGUGCUUAACACAUGCAAGUCGAGCGAGACCCCUCCUUCGGGAGGGUGUUCUAGCGGCGAACGGGUGAGUAACACGUGGGCAACCUGCCCUCAGCUCUGGGAUAACUCCAAGAAAUUGGGGCUAAUACCGGAUAUGACCGCUGACCGCAUGGUCUGGUGGUGGAAAGAUUUAUCGGCUGGGGAUGGGCCCGCGGCCUAUCAGCUUGUUGGUGGGGUAGUGGCCACCAAGGCGACGACGGGUAGCCGGCCUGAGAGGGUGACCGGCCACACUGGGACUGAGACACGGCCCAGACUCCUACGGGAGGCAGCAGUGGGGAAUAUUGCGCAAUGGGCGGAAGCCUGACGCAGCGACGCCGCGUGAGGGAUGACGGCCU